UACGAAGAACAAAUAAACUCAAAGAAGAGGGUUCUCCAUUGAGAGUUCCACCGCUGCCAUCUCUAGCUAGCGGCAAUUUGCUUCAACUCUCUCUCUCAACAAUUCUCUCUUAGGUAUGCGCCUCUCUCCUCCUCCUUAUCACAUUUUACAAAACCCUAAGUUUUUGAUUCUUUACUUUAUUCUCUUACAAAAGAUCAAUCACGAGUUUAUAGUUCUAAAUUUUGAGUUUAAUUAAUUUUUUUAUUUAUAUAUAAUUUUGUCGAAGAAUGGAUGGGAAUAGGUGGAAACUUUUCAAGAAACCGGUAAAUACUCAAUUUAAAAGGAAAGGGGUGAGUAUUAGUUGCAGGAAAGGAAAAUACGAAGAAUUAUCAGAAAAUUAUCUUGGUGAUGGUACUGUUUAUAGGAUACUGUGUCCGUCCAGAGAGAUUUGGAGUGUUAUUGGAAAGGGUGGGAAUAUAGUGAAAGCCUUAAGGGAAGAAAGGCAGUCCAAAAUUACUGUUGCUGAUUCAGUUCAGGGCUUGGACGAGAGAGUUAUUAUUUUUAUAGUUCUUCGGUUAAACCUCUGAUAAAAAAUGACUAGGAGGAGGAACUGGAGCCACAUUGUGCUGGCUGGACGCGCUUCUGAAAGUUCAUGGCCGGAUUGUGGAUGAUGAAUUGAUGAUGAUAAGGAGAAUAUUUUUGUCACGGCAAGGCUUCUUGUUCAUAAUAAUAUGGUACGUUGUGUUUUAGGAAGACGGGGAGAUUUUACUCAGAGGUUAAGAAGUGAGGCUGGUGCAAACAUACAUGUUCUUGCUGUGCUACGGACACUGAUGAAUUGGUCCAGCAUAGUGGAAUGCAGGUCUUCUCAAUAAGAUGGGUCUUCUUUGGCUGUUUGUACACUUCUCAUGAGUAGUUGACAUAGGCACUCGCCAUGAACUGUCCUCAAAGAUGUGACAAUUAUUUCCCCAAUAGAGCUCCAGUGAUCUGCUUGACUGAAUGUUCUUUGUAUUGGAAGGAAGGUGGUAGUUUCAAGUUUGAGUUUGAGAGAUACAUGCAGAAAUGAGUAUACCCCUGCAAUAUCUUAGCAUACACUGGUUAAGUCAUGACAGUUGCAAAGGAUGAGGCCAAACAUGCAGAAGAGAUCUCUGGAAAGCCAGCUGUGGCAAAGAGGGCUCUUUAUGAAAUACCUGCUCUAUUGCAUCAGAAUAUGUGCAAGGACAAAUCUCCAAGUGUUUCAGGGUCUAUGGAAUCCAAGAUCACGAACCAUUGAAGCAAUUCUUCAGCUUCAGAAUAAAACUAGUGAAUUUUCUGGAAAGGGUAUGAUUACUAGACUUCUGGUUCCGUCUAGCAAGGUUGGCUGCAUUCUUGGACAAGGAGGUCAGGAUAUCAAUGAAAUGAGGAGGUUGCGGGCAGAAAUUUGUGUAUACCCCAAGAAUGAAUGGCCUAAAUGUGCAUCUGAAGAUGAGGAGCUUGUACAGAUAUCUGGAUAUUGCAUCUGACUCGGAGAAACAACUUUGCAUGAUGAAAAUGCUGGAGCAGAACCUGAGCGUGCUGGACCUGUCCUGGGCUUUGGGCUGGCACACAACUUGCCAGUAAUAGGACCCCAACCAUCUGUUAUGAUGGGAGCUAGCAAUUCUGGUGGAUAUGAACCUCUCAAGAUACCCAAUAUGAAACCAUGUCUUGGAGGCUAAUAACUCGCCUAAUAUGAACCAUGUUUUGGAGGCCAAUAACUCACAUAAUGGAAUGAAUUCUGUCAUUAGAUCUGGAGGAUGUGAUGUUUCAAGUAUUGACGAGGUUUUUGUAAAGUUCAUCAAUGAUCGUCUGCUAGAGUCUGCUAGAUGAUUGAUGAUGCUGCUAGUAAGUGGUUCCAUUAGCUGGUGACAUGGCAGGCUAGAUCAACAUAAAUAUAUAUCGUUGGACAUAUCAACAAGUGACAAUGGUUGUUGGAACAAGGUUGAAGCUUUUACAUCCCAUUAUGGUAGUUAUGAAGUUGUGAAUCACGGAUCUUCUGAGCAUUUGACUGCUGCACAAUGUCUUUAUCGAGCUUUCAUGUCUUCUGGUGGACAGAACAUGAAUUCCCACCAGGUUUCCUACCAAACCAGCGUAACUUCCCAGCAAAGCUCAUACCAAAGCAUGAAUGCUCACCAGCAAGAUGCCUAUCAAAGCAUGAGUGCCCAGCAGGACCCUACCAAAUCAAGAAUACUCGGCAGAUCACCUCACAAAACGUCCAUGGUCAGCAGAACACGUACCGGGACAUGAAUUCUCGGCAGAGCCCCUAUUAAAAUAUGAGGGCACAUCAAACCCAUGACUGCCCAGCGAGGUGUCCCCAAAUACAAAUGCCCCACAUAGUUCCAACAACAGUGCUCAGCAAGUCGCUUACCAUUACCGAGCACCGACUUUGAUUUGCUCAUUUUGUAUCAGGAUUUGUCAUUUAGUGUCUUAACAAUAAUAAUUAUUGGGAAAAAAGAGAGGAAGGUUUCUUAACUACAAGUGGCAGGUAGACUUGUCAGCAGGACAGAAUGCACAGCGAUUGUUUUAGCUGUGACAUUAUCUUGGGGGAUGCGUUGUGGAGGAGCCAUUAUGGCUGGCUAGUGCAAAUUGUUAACUUCUGAUUAGAGAAGACAAGAUUUUUAUUCUUUAAAAUCGACAAUCAAGUAUUUUCUACAAUCGAAAUCAUUAAAAUCUUAUCAGGAUGAGAAAUCUGUUGGAAAUCCAAGAAAUUCCUGCAGCGGUUCCAUCCUUAAAUGACAGCAUCGGAACCAAUUUAGAUUCA